rnacentral:rRNA from 1 species
AUUGAACGCUGGCGGCAGGCCUAACACAUGCAAGUCGAGCGAGCGGCGGACGGGUGAGUAAUGUAUGGGAAUCUGCCUGAUAGAGGGGGAUAACUACUGGAAACGGUGGCUAAUACCGCAUACUAUCGGAUGUACCCAUAUGGGAUUAGCUAGUAGGUGGGGUAAAGGCUCACCUAGGCGACGAUCUCUAGCUGGUCUGAGAGGAUGACCAGCCAAACUGGGACUGAGAAACGGCCCAGACUCCUACGGGAGGCAGCAGUGGGGAAUAUUGCACAAUGGGCGCAAGCCUGAUGCAGCCAUGCCGCGUGUGUGAAGAAGGCCUUAGGGUUGUAAAGCACUUUCAGCGGGGAGGCGUUACCCGCAGAAGAAGCACCGGCUAACUCCGUGCCAGCAGCCGCGGUAAUUC